UGAGGUCAGCUGCUUUGACAAUGUUGCACUACUGUACCAUCCAUUCUAGCAGUGCAAUAGUAUUGUCAUAGCAUUUGGCCCCAAG
rfam:Larimichthys crocea isolate SSNF unplaced genomic scaffold scaffold438, whole genome shotgun sequence.